GUGUCAGCCGCCGCGGUAACACGUAGGGGGCGAGCGUUGUCCGGAAUUACUGGGCGUAAAGGGCGUGUAGGCGGCCGAUCAAGUCAGGUGUGAAAAUCCAGGGCUCAACCCUGGACGUGCACUUGAAACUGGUUGGCUUGAGUGCAGGAGAGGAAAGUGGAAUUCCCAGUGUAGCGGUGAAAUGCGUAGAUAUUGGGAGGAACACCAGUGGCGAAGGCGACUUUCUGGCCUGUAACUGACGCUGAGGCGCGAAAGCUAGGGGAGCAAACAGGAUUAGAUACCCUGGUAGUCCUAGCCGUAAACGAUGGGUACUAGGUGUAGGGAGCUUGAAAGCUUUCUGUGCCGUAGUAAACACAUUAAGUACCCCGCCUGGGGAGUACGGCCGCAAGGCUGAAACUUAAAUAAAUUGACGG
rnacentral:rRNA from 1 species